rnacentral:rRNA from 1 species
UACGUAGGUGGCAAGCGUUGUCCGGAUUUACUGGGCGUAAAGAGCGCGCAGGCGGUCGUUCAAGUCGCGUGUGAAAGCCCCCGGCUCAACUGGGGAGGGUCACGCGAUACUGAUCGACUCGAAGGCAGGAGAGGGAAGUGGAAUUCCCGGUGUAGUGGUGAAAUGCGUAGAUAUCGGGAGGAACACCAGUGGCGAAGGCGACUUCCUGGCCUGUUCUUGACGCUGAGGCACGAAAGCCAAGGGAGCAAACAGG